rnacentral:ncRNA from 1 species
UGGGCAGUAUCCUUGGAACUGCACCUGCUUGAACUUGAACCUGAAAAUAAAUUUCUGCCUUGAUCCAGUAUGCUGGACGGGGACGGAGGG